CCCUUCACUAAUUUACAUCGAUAUUUUUCUGUUGAAAUUAAAACCUAAGGUUAAGUUGAUAAGGCGCGGCCUUCCUUCUGAUAUUGAAGCGGCUUACGUUCCUUUCCUCUCGGCUACGUCGGCACUGCCACUUCAUCUGAGUCUGGAUCUAGGCUUCUCCGUAACUCUCUCUCGGCGUUUGUUGAUUUUCUCAAUCUAAGAUGCAGGCCAGUGAUAGGUUUAAUAUUAACUCCCAGCUUGAGCAUCUGCAAGCAAAAUAUGUUGGAACUGGUCAUGCUGACUUGAAUAGAUUUGAAUGGGCGGUGAAUAUCCAGCGUGAUAGCUAUGCAUCAUAUGUUGGCCACUACCCCUUACUGGCGUAUUUUGCUAUUGCUGAAAACGAAUCAAUUGGAAGAGAGCGCUACAAUUUUAUGCAGAAAAUGCUUUUGCCUUGCGGUCUCCCCCCUGAAAGAGAGGACGAUUGAUUGUUGUUGUUUGGCAGACGCUGAAGCAGGACACUGAAGAUGGAUCUUUGCUGGCUUUUGUGUACCUCCUAUGUCCUUUGAUGUGCAAUAUGUGACUUGUGGAGAAUUUUAAUAUUGCAAUUGGAACAACGGAGCUAUAGCAGCAUAGGAUAUUUCCAUCUGGUUUUAAGGACAGACCUGUCAAAGACCCUUGUACUAAUUUGUUUGAUGAACAUUGGUACAAGUUCUCAAACCCAGCUAGGUUUAUCUUAUCUAUUUGAUCGAGUAGGUAUUAUAUAUUACCUUAUUAA